AAAGUCUUAUGUUAAUAAAACAAAUAGCCUUCAAAGUUAUAAAUGAAAGUAAAAUCCUUUUAGGCUUUA
rnacentral:tRNA from 1 species